AUGGCGGCCGCCGCGAUAAGGGCCCAGAUCAACGUACUCAUCGCCACCAUGUUCAACACGGGUCUGGUGGACGAUGCUUUCUUGCAGCUGCAGAGGAUGCGCGAGCAGGGCCGCGUAACUCCGGCCUACGUCGUUGAGGUCAUGAACCGCUUCCUCAACAACGCCGAGAGGAUCAUCAACGACCUCAUCGGCCUGAUGAACGAGCCCGAGGUGGACUUCGACAAGGUGGACGGCCUCGUGCAGCAGCUCAAGCUGGCCUGCAGCAGGCGGAAGCCCUUUCCUCUCUAUCCCCCACCCCCCAGUCUUAACUGUGUUUAUUUCUUCGCUGCAUCAUGUGCGAUUCAGAUGUGCUUCCCUUGUCAGGGUGUUGGUGCUAAGAGAUUGAACCUCUGCUGCGUGCAACACUUCAGUCCUGAGGCAAAAAACAAAGAAGGGUACCUCACGGCACUAGGUUGUGUCAGGUUUCAGUUCUACGAUUUGCGCAGCAUGUUCAAGAUCAUAAUGGAGCUGGAGCAGCAUCUUGCGGCAUGUGGUCCUAAGUAG
rnacentral:rRNA from 1 species